rnacentral:rRNA from 1 species
UACGUAGGUGACCAGCGUUGUCCGGAUUUACUGGGCGUAAAGAGCGCGCAGGCGGUCGUUCAAGUCGAGUGUGAAAGCCCCCCGGCUCAACUGGGGGAGGGUCACUCGAUACUGAUCGACUUGAAGGCAGGAGAGGGAAGCGGAAUUCCCGGGUGUAGUGGUGAAAUGCGUAGAUAUCGGGAGGAAACACCGAGUGGCGAAGGC